rnacentral:rRNA from 1 species
GACGAACGCUGGCGGCGUGCCUAAUACAUGCAAGUAGAACGCACAGUUUAUACCGUAGCUUGCUACACCAUAGACUGUGAGUUGCGAACGGGUGAGUAACGCGUAGGUAACCUGCCUGGUAGCGGGGGAUAACUAUUGGAAACGAUAGCUAAUACCGCAUAAUAUUAAUUAUUGCAUGAUAAUUAAUUGAAAGGUGCAAUUGCACCACUACCAGAUGGACCUGCGUUGUAUUAGCUAGUAGGUGAGGUAACGGCUCACCUAGGCGACGAUACAUAGCCGACCUGAGAGGGUGAUCGGCCACACUGGGACUGAGGCACGGCCCAGACUCCUACGGGAGGCAGCAGUAGGGAAUCUUCGGCAAUGGACGAAAGUCUGACCGAGCAACGCCGCGUGAGGGAAGAAGGUUUUCGGAUCGUAAAGCUCUGUUGUAAGAGAAGAACGGGUGUGAGAGUGGAAAGUUCACACUGUGACGGUAGCUUACCAGAAAGGGACGGCUAACUACGUG